UACGGAGGGUGCAAGCGUUAUCCGGAAUCACUGGGUUUAAAGGGUGCGUAGGCGGUUCGAUAAGUCAGUCGUGAAAUACUCCGGCUUAACCGGUAGACGUGCGAUUGAUACUGUCAGACUUGAAUCAGGUUGAGGUAGGCGGAAUGUGGCAUGUAGCGGUGAAAUGCUUAGAUAUGCCAUAGAACACCGAUUGCGAAGGCAGCUUGCUGGGCCUGUAUUGACGCUGAGGCACGAAAGCGUGGGGAGCAAACAGG
rnacentral:rRNA from 1 species